rnacentral:rRNA from 1 species
AACGAACGCUGGCGGCAGGCUUAACACAUGCAAGUCGAACGCAUCCUUCGGGGUGAGUGGCAGACGGGUGAGUAACGCGUGGGAACGUGCCCUUCAGUUCGGGAUAACCCAGGGAAACUUGGGCUAAUACCGGAUAAGUGCGAGAGCAGAAAGAUUUAUCGCUGAAGGAUCGGCCCGCGUCUGAUUAGCUAGUUGGUGGGGUAAUGGCCCACCAAGGCGACGAUCAGUAGCUGGUCUGAGAGGAUGAUCAGCCACAUUGGGACUGAGACACGGCCCAGACUCCUACGGGAGGCAGCAGUGGGAAUUUUGGACAAUGGGCGCAAGCCUGAUCCAGCCAUGCCGCGUGAGUGAUGAAGGCCUUAGGGUUGUAAAGCUCUUUCGUCCGGGACGAUAAUGACGGUACCGGAAGAAGAAGCCCCGGCUAACUUCGUGCCAGCCGCCGCCGUAA